rnacentral:rRNA from 1 species
GACAGGGGUGGCAAGCGUUGUUCGGAGUAACUGGGCGUAAAGGGUCUGUAGGUGGUUUUUCAAGUCUUUGGUAAAACGCCGUGGCUCAACCAUGGUUUGGCCAAGGAGACUGGGAGACUCGAGGCUGGGAGAGGGAAGCGGAAUUUCUGGUGUAGCGGUGAAAUGCGUAGAGAUCAGAAAGAAGGCCGGUGGCGAAGGCGGCUUCCUGGAACAGACCUGACACUGAGAGACGAAAGCGUGGGGAGAAACAGGAUUAGAUACCCUGGUAGUCCACGCCCUAAACGAUGGGAACUAAGUGUGGGGAGCAAUCCCCGUGCCGCAGCUAACGCAACAAGUUCCCCGCCUGGGGAGUACGGCCGCAAGGUUGAAACUCAAAGGAAUUGACGGGGGCCCGCACAAGCGGUGGUGCAUGUGGUUUAAUUCAACGCAACGCGAGGAACCUUACCUGGGUUUGACAUGGCGCUGGUAGUGAACCGAAAGGGGAACGACCCCGCAAGGGGAGGCGUCACAGGUGCUGCAUGGCUGUCGUCAGCUCGUGCCGUGAGGUGUUGGGUUAAGUCCCGCAACGAGAGCAACCCCCGCCCUUUGUUGCUACCGGGUAAAGCCGGGCACUCGAAGGGGACUGCCAGCGAAGAGUUGGAGGAAGGUGGGGAUGACGUCAAGUCAUCAUGGCCUUUAUAUCCAGGGCGACACACGUGCAACAAUGGCCGGUACAGACGGAGGCGAGCCCGUAAGGGGGAGCAAAUCCGAGACAGCCGGUCUCAGUUCGGAUUGAGGUCUGCAACUCGACCUCAUGAAGUCGGAAUCGCUAGUAAUCGCGUAUCAGAACGACGCGGUGAAUACGUUCCCGGGCCUUGUACACACCGCCCGUCACACCACGAAAGUCUGUUGUACCCGAAGUCGGUGUCCGAACCCCGCAAGGGGACGAAGCCGCCCAAGGUAUGGCCGAUGAUUGGGGUG